rnacentral:rRNA from 1 species
CUGAAACGCUGGCGGCGUGGCUAAGACAUGCAAGUCGCACGGGCCUAGCAAUAGGUCAGUGGCGAACGGGUGAGUAAUGUAUCGCUAAUGUGCCCCGAAGACGGGAUAGCUGCCCGAAAGGGCAGGUAAUACCCGGUGACAUAACCCUGGGGCAUCCCAGGGUUCUCAAAGGCCCUGCAAAGGCGCUUUGGGAGCAGGCGAUAUCGUAUCAGCUAGUUGGCAGGGGUAACGGCCCUACCAAGGCGAUGACGCGUAGCUGGUCUGAGAGGACGGCCCAGCCACAUUGGGACUGAGACACUGCCCAGACUCCUACGGGGGGCUGCAAGUAACGAAUCUUCCGCAAUGCACGAAAGUGUGACGGAGCGGACGCCGCGUGUGGGAUGAAGUUCUUCGGAAUGUAAACCACUGUCAGGGGAAAGAAAGUUCUGAUCUACCCCAGAGGGAAGGGACGGCUAACUCUGUGCCAGCAGCCGCGGUAAGACAGAGGUCCCGAGCGUUAGGCGGAAUCACUGGGCUUAAAGCGUGUGUAGGCGGAUCGUUAAGUGCCUUGUGAAAUCCCACGGCCUUAAACCGUGGAAUGGCUGGGCAGACUGGCGAUCUUGAGCCAUCUAGGGGCGACCGGAAACAAACGGUGGAGCGGUGAAAAUGCGUAGAUAUCGUUUGGAACGCCAACGGUGAAAACAGGUCGCUGGGGAUGUGCUGACGCUGAGACACGAAAGCCAGGGGAGCAAACGGGAUUAGAUACCCCGGUAGUCCUGGCCCCUAAACGAUGUCCACUAGAUCGCAGUCGCUCUGAACGUGAUUGCGGUCGAAGCCAAAGUGGCUAAGUGGACCGCCUGGGAAGUACGGUCGCAAGGCUAAAACUCAAAGGAAUUGACGGGGGCUCACACAAGCGGUGGAGCAUGUGGUUCAAUUCGAAGCAACGCGCAGAACCUUACCUGGGCUUGACAUGCCAGGAUUAUCUCCGUGAAAGCGGAGUAGGCCCCGCAAGGGUACAACUGGUACAGGUGCUGCAUGGCUGUCGUCAGCUCGUGUCGUGAGAUGUCGGGUUUAAGUCCCUUAACGAGCGAAACCUUUGCCCUUAGUUACCAUCGGGUUAUGCCGGGGACUCUAAGGGGACUGCCGGUGGUCAAACCGGAGGAAGGUGGAGAUGACGUCAAGUCCUCAUGGCCCUUUAUGCCCAGGGCCACACACGUGCUACAAUGCGGCGCACAGAGCGAACCAAGAGCGCAAGCUGGAGGAAAUCGCUAACAAAUCGCCGCCCCAGUUCAGAUCGGAGGCUGCAACCCGCCUCCGUGAAGUUGGAAUCGCUAGUAAUCGCGGAUCAGCUACGCCGCGGUGAAUGUGUUCCUGAGCCUUGUACACACCGCCCCGUCAAGUCAUGGGAGCCGAAAAUAGCCGAAGCCGCCUCACCACUGAGGUGUCUACGCUAGGUUUCGGUGACUGGGACU